rnacentral:snRNA from 1 species
UGCUCUUUGGCAGCACAUGUAUAAAAUUGAAAUAACACAGGAUGAUGAACAUGGUUUCUGUGCAGGAAUUAUAUGCAAAUUUAUGAAGCAUUCCCUAAAUUU